UUUAGAGCAACACCGCGUUGACUUAACAAGGCUCUUUAGCUGUAAAACUCAUUAUUUUAAAAAUAGGUAGAUUUGUAUAGAAAAAAAGUUCCGACUAAUGUUGUGCCAGCAGUCGCGGUAAUACAGCAGGAACUAGCGUUAUUUAGCAUAAAUGGGCGUAAAGCGUUUGUGGUUGGUAUAAAGUUGUUAGGUGUUAAAUUUCAUGGCGUAACUUUGAAACAGCGCUUAAAACGUUUAUACUAGAGUGCAAUGUAAGACAUUGGAAUUUUACAAGAAGAGGUAAAAUUUUUAGAACUGUAAAAGAACCUCAAAAGCAAAGGCUGUUGUCUAGGUUGUUGACUGACAUUAAGAAACGAAAGUGUGGUUAUCAAACAGGACUAGAUACCCUGGUAGUCUACACCCUAAAUUAUGAGUGUUAACCCUUAGUGUAUUUAAACAUUAGGCGUUUUUGUUAACUUGUUAAGCACUCCGCCUGAAAAGUAUAAUUACAAGAUGGAACUUCAAAGGAAUUGACGGGGAUCAAUUACCAGUGGUGGAGCAUGUUGUUUAAUGCGAUAGUACACGCUAAACCUUACCAGUUUUUGAUGGCGCAUUUUGUGAAGUUUUAAGAAACAAAAAUUUCCGUUUAAUAGUAAGCAUUCUACGCACAAGAAUUGCAUGGCUGUCGUCAGCUCGUGUUGUGAAAUGUUGGAUUAAUUUCUUAAACGAGCGAAACCCCUAUUUUUAAUUGCCACAGUUGAUUCUUUUAACAGGAACUUUAAAAAACUUGUUGGUGGAUAAGCCAAACGAAAGAAGGGAUCACGUCAAGUCCUUAUGAUCUUUAUAAACUGGGCUACAAACGUGCUACAGUGGAAAUUACAAAAAGUAGCGAUAGCCAAAAACUGGAGCAAAUCUUUAAAAAUUUCUAAUGUUCGAAUUGUGUUCUGAAACUCGAGCACAUGAAGUUGGAAUCACAAGUAAUCGUAGAUCAGCAUGCUAUGGUGAAUUUGUACCU
rnacentral:rRNA from 1 species